UACGGAGGAUGCGAGCGUUAUCCGGAUUCAUUGGGUUUAAAGGGUGCGUAGGCGGACUAUUAAGUCAGUGGUGAAAUCCUGCAGCUUAACUGCAGAACUGCCAUUGAUACUGAUAACCUUGAGUGUGAUUAAUGCCGGCGGAAUGCGACAAGUAGCGGUGAAAUGCUUAGAUAUUACACAGAACACCAAUUGCGUAGGCAGCUUACUGAGCCGACACUGACGCUGAGGCACGAAAGCGUGGGGAUCGAACAGG
rnacentral:rRNA from 1 species